GUAACAAGGUCUCCGUUGGUGAACCAGCGGAGGGAUCAUUACAGAGUUAUCCAACUCCCAAACCCAUGUGAACUUACCUUUGUUGCCUCGGCAGAAGCUACCUGUACCCUUCUGGGACAGCCUACCUGGACCUACCUGGAACGGCUACCCUGGAUCGACCUACCCGUAGCGCACUGCCGGUGGACCAUUCAACUCUUGUUAUUUUAUUGUAAUCUGAGCGUCUUAUUUUAAUAAGUCAAAACUUUCAACAACGGAUCUCUUGGUUCUGGCAUCGAUGAAGAACGCAGCGAAAUGCGAUAAGUAAUGUGAAUUGCAGAAUUCAGUGAAUCAUCGAAUCUUUGAACGCACAUUGCGCCCACUAGUAUUCUGGUGGGCAUGCCUGUUCGAGCGUCAUUUCAACCCUUAAGCCUAGCUUAGUAUUGGGAAUCUACUGUAUUGUAGUUCCUCAAAUCCAACGGCGGAUCUGUGGUAUCCUCUGAGCGUAGUAAAUUUUUAUCUCGCUUUUGUCAGGUGCUGCAGCUCCCGGCCGCUAAACCCCCCAAUUUUUAAUGGUUGACCUCGGAUCAGGUAGGAAUACCCGCUGAACUUAAGCAUAUCGGAGCAAAAGAAACCAACAGGGAUUGCCCUAGUAACGGCGAGUGAAGCGGCAACAGCUCAAAUUUGAAAUCUGGCCCUUGGGUCCGAAUUGUAAUUUGUAGAGGAUGAUUUUGGUGCGGUAUCUUCCGAGUUCCUUGGAACAGGACGCCUUAGAGGGUGAGAGCCCCGUACGGUUGAAUGCCUAGCCUCUGUAAAUCUCCUUCGACGAGUCGAGUAGUUUGGGAAUGCUGCUCUAAAUGGGAGGUAAAUUUCUUCUAAAGCUAAAUACUGGCCAGAGACCGAUAGCGCACAAGUAGAGUGAUCGAAAGAUGAAAAGCACUUUGAAAAGAGGGUUAAAUAGCACGUGAAAUUGUUGAAAGGGAAGGAUUUAUGACCAGACUUUUUCUGGGCGGAUCAUCCGGUGUUCUCACCGGUGCACUUUGCCCAGUUUAGGCCAGCAUCGAUUUUCGGAUAGGGAUAAAAGCUUUGGGAAUGUGACUCCUCCGGGAGUGUUAUAGCCCAUUGUAUAAUACCUUUCUGGGGAUCGAGGUACGCGCUUCUGCAAGGAUGCUGGCGUAAUGGUUAUCAAUCACCCGUCU
rnacentral:rRNA from 1 species